CCGUAGCCCAAGAGAUCGGGAUAACACCUGGAAACAGAUGCUAAUACCGGAUAAUAACAGAUGAUGCCUAUCAACUGUUUAAAAGAUGGUUCUGCUAUCACUCUUGGAUGGACCUGCGGUGCAUUAGCUAGUUGGUAGGGUAACGGCCUACCAAGGCGAUGAUGCAUAGCCGAGUUGAGAGACUGAUCGGCCACAUUGGGACUGAGACACGGCCCAAACUCCUACGGGAGGCAGCAGU
rnacentral:rRNA from 1 species